rnacentral:rRNA from 1 species
UGCUCCCUCACUGCCAUCACCCGCUGUACUACGCAUGGUCCCAUCGUUACUCCGAAUUACUUUGCCUAAAUCGUUCGCUGGCUGCUUAUUAAGUCACAUGUGAAAUCCCUAGGCUCAUCCUAUGAACUGCAUUUGAAACUAAUAAACUAGAGUAUCGUAGAGGGAGGUAGAAUUCCAGGUGUAGCGUUGAAAUGCGUAGAUAUCUGGAGGAAUACCAGUGGCGAAGGCGACCUCCUGGACGAAAACUGACGCUCAAGCACGAAAGCAUGUGGAGCAAACAGGAUUAGAUACCUUGGUAGUC